rnacentral:lncRNA from 1 species
GAGGCUUGAUGUAUUUGUGAUAUUAAGAUUUCUAGACCCAGAACAUAACCUGGUUUUUUUUUUGUUGUUGUUUUUUGUUUUUUUUGCCUUUGGGCCCUUCAAUAAGUUAGGUGUUUUUGUUUUUUAAGGUAUAGGUCCUGUCUUUUUUAACCUAUUUUUUUACUAUUAUGUUUUAUGUGAAUCUGCUUUUUUCCAUUUCUAUUUCUAGUGUUUAUUACCAGUAAAGAAAUUUCUAAAUAAAUAUGAGUGAUCAAAUUAUCAAAUUAUCUUUCUUAUUUUAUUACUUUAAAAUUGCAAUUUUGGGGUUUUCUAGAUAUACAGCAACCUCAUCAGCAUUGCAUU